rnacentral:lncRNA from 1 species
UUCCUCAACCUUCUGGACAGACAACAAUCUCCAGAACAUACAUAGAAGAAUCAAAGCAUUCACACAAACUCCCACAAGCAUUGCAGGGAGAAUUCCAAUCACAAAUGUCCCGAAAGAUAUCUUACUCUGUACAGCUAUAACAAGGUUUUGAGGAUUGCCAAUCGGGGUUGCGGCAGACCCAAUGUUUGCACUCGAGGCAAGGGCAAGUAGGAAAGGAUGAGGCAGGAGGUUAUGUUGUCUUGCAACUUUCAGAACAAACUCGGUCAAAACCACACAAGAGGUGUCAUUGGUGAAGAGGGCGCUCGAAACUGCAGAUAGAGUUUUCCACAUGAGCAACUUGCCCAAAUACUUGAACAUAUCUGCUCUUUCGAGAUACAUACUCACAACCAUUGUCCAAAAACAGAAGACCGAUGAUUGGGAGAUCAAUAGCUGCAUAUGCUUGAUCAGGAGUUAAGACUCGGAAAACAACCAUAAGCUUUGCCCCAAGGAGGGACCCUGUAGUCCUCCCAAUUGGCAAGAAAGGGACAGCCGGAAACACAGCCAACACCCAGAAGACUGCAAAAGCAAUCGAGCCAAGAACCACUUUGACAGGAGAAGCCACUGCCAUUUUUCCAACUUAAGAGUAGGUGAGCUCCCUCCUAUGCACUCAAAUUGGAACCCCGUAAUUUAUAUUAGUUUAAAGUUGAAUAUCGCUUGUAUCAUAAGAAGCUGAAGAUCUUACUCAUGAUAGCUAACCAUAGCAUCAAUACGGACCAAAAACGAAAAGACCUGAACACAAAAACCAAUCCCAGUUGCACAACUAGUUUUACCAAAGAUUCAGCUUAGAGACUGAACUAGACCUGAACCAAGCAACUUGAGUGUAAACAGUAAAACAAACAAAUUAUAUAUAAGGAUCAGUGUACUGCAGUAUUGCAACUUCGCGUGGACUGUAAGGCUGCAUUCGUUAGAAAUGGAGGACAACUUCCAAAUUUUGUCUGAAUUGAAGUUAAAAGAUUGAGCAGUCAUGAACGAAGUUAUCCCUUCUAAUCCUACUAUUGUUGUGGGAUUAGACGGGAAAACUUUCCUUCAUGAAUAAUUCAUCUUCUAUAUCCGUUUCUUCCCGAGUUAUCCUAUCCAAAGUCAAUCCUCUUAACAAUCUCAUUCUAAAUCUCAAUCAUUUACAAGAACCUAGCCAAGAUUGAAACAUUCAAUCUCUUUAAUAGCAAUAACUCAAUAGAAAUUUACAAAGAUUCAUCAGGAAAAAAAAAAAGUUAAUGGAGAUUUGUUUGCUAAUUUCAGCAAAAACCCUUGUCCAAAAAACCACUGUAUUUGCUAUAAAUAGAAAGAAACAGAAAGGAAGCUCAGGCUGGACGGAAAAAAGUGCUUAACUUUUAAGCAAAAGCUAAACUAACUAGCAAUACCAGGACCAAAAGAAACAAAGAUCUUACCUCGAAAAAAGGUUCAAGGAAGUAGGGAUUGAAUUGAACUGCUUUUCCAUGAUCUGCUGCCAGAAUCAGAACAUAUAACCACAUGAAACAUAAAGAGAAGUUGGCUUCAACUUUUUUCUGUUUCGGGUAAUUAAUAAAUAAGUAAAAAGGGAAUCGAUCGAUUUGCAGUGAGUGGAGCUUCUUCUCAGUUCACAAAUCGACACAAUGAAAUUUAAAAUAAAAAGCUAGAAACUUUGACUGUUAUCAUCUUUGUCCUUAAUAUAUGUUUGAUGCUCUUUAAGGUCGCACCAAUCAAUAUCCCACGUUAAUGAAACCAUCUGAGUCCAUUGAGAAAUUUUUCAUUGUGCCGAAACAAAUCCCAUACAAAUAAAAGGAGACUCCAAGCUAAUAAGGUCCCGCGCUUUGUGAAGGUUGGGGGGAGAAUAAACAUCUAUCAUACGCAUCUUUGUCUUUGCUUUGUAAAGAGGUUAUUUUCACGACUCGAACCCGUGACAUUUUGGUUACAAAGGCGCAAUCUUUCAGGCUUGCCCAUACAAAGGUAGAAAUAAAACUAUACAAAGAUGCUUUCUUUGUUGUCCAAAAGUUUCAUCUAAUUAGUGUUAAACCAAUAGCAGUGACUAUAAGAGUGGAGGGGACUCCAAAUUUCAGAUGGCUCCAGAAGGACAAUGUGUAGGCAAGUUGAGGAGAUUGGCGAGCCUGCUCGCACACUAUCAAGUUGGCUGCUGAUCCCAAAAGCGACAGGUUUCCGGCCACAGUGCUCACCCAACCUAAUAGGAGCCACGCCUUCUUCUCCUCCGCAGCAGAGAUUAGGGCCGCUGACGCUGCCACCCGCCCUCCAAGCAACAAAACUAUCCAACACAAAAGAAAAAAAAACAUGCAUGUUAAGUGGCUGCUGGAAGUAUGAUAAUAUUUUGGUUCUUAUAGAGUGCAAACGGAAAAUAAUAUCAGCAUACAUACCAGUUGGUACAUUUGAAGCCAAAUUUGACAGCACAAGUAUGGUGACUGCAAGAACUGCUAUCCCGCUAGCAUGAUCAAUUUGCGCAUGCGGCUCCAUGAAGUCCCAAAGAUUGCUUGGAAUGCCGGUAUUGUUGAAUCCAUUGACGGUUAUAAACAUUCCGCAGAAGAAAAUCAAGAGUGAAUAUGAAACCUGUCAAAGAAAGAAGGAAACUUGUUACAUUUGUAAUCUAAUCUAACGUUCGGAGUGAACUUCGUGCUUGUGAAACUUACCUUUUCUAGGCUUGGACGGGCAUCCGUGAAGUCAAACAACCAGAGCAAGUGCAGCAGUAAUCGCACACCACGACAUAUUGAGGCCCAUAAGCAGUGCAAUCAGCAUUCCUAUAGUAAUAAGGUAAACACCAGAUUUCCACAAUAUCCUUUUCCAUCUUUUGGUCAGAUGUUCCUUCCCUUCCAACGACUCCAUAGGAAAUGCAUCUGUUUGUCUAUCAUUCAAUGGAGACCUUUUUGAUGGGAUUGUUCUGUCCCUUUUAGGAGAAGACAAAUCAUUCGUGUCCUCUUUUGAUGCACUUGAAAUUCUUGCAGACUCUAUCGCACCACUAGGAACCUUGUUCGCUUCAUUCUCGCUAGAAGGUAAGCGGUUUCUAAGAGUCUCGACAUUACCUAUGCUCACAUUAACAUUCAGAGAACUUUGCACAGUUGGGGUUUCCAAUCUAGAGUUCAUUUCUUGAGAGUUUAAGGAUGUACUAUGUGACAAUGUAGCUGGUGAAAACCGAUGAGAACUUACAUCCUCCUCUGGAACAGGUUCCAGAGCUGGAUCUUCCUCAUCCUUCUGGACAGACAACAAUCUCCAGAACACACAUAGAAGAAUCACAGCAUUCACACAAACUCCCACAAGCAUUGCAGGGAGAAUUCCAAUCACAAAUGUCCCGAAAGAUAUCUUACUCUGUACAGCUAUAACAAGGUUUUGAGGAUUGCCAAUCGGGGUUGCUGCAGACCCAAUGUUUGCACUCGAGGCAAGGGCGAGUAGGAAAGGAUGAGGCGGGAGGUUAUGUUGUCUUGCAACUUUCAAAACAAACUCAGUCAAAACCACACAAGAG